UGCCUGCUCUGCAGUGUUCCCGCAGCUUCCUGCCUUAUGUUUGCUUUCUAUUUUCAUAUCCAUGGGAAAGGAAUCUGCUUUAGCAGGGGCUGCCAUCCUGCCUGCACCAGCCAUCCAGGGCUGCCACCUUUAGCUGAGGCCACAGGCUAACUCGAUUCUUCUUCCCUCUGGCCAGAACACAUGCCACUGAAGGAACGAUUUAUUUCCUGAAACCAUGCUGCUUUCAGCAGUUUCAAAUAGCUUUAAAUUAUGUGCACGGCUAGAACUUGAAAGCGAUAAUUCUGUCCACAUGUCCAACACAGGAAGGUGAACUUACAGCCAGAGCUCCUCAGUGCACUUUUGAAAAUCACAGCACUUGAGUACCCUGAAUAAAGCCACGGUUUAUCCCAGAAGUUCACAGAAAUCUGCCAUUACGUGACCAAGGAAGUAAAACAAAAGUCUUCAAAUCUACAAAAAGUUCUCCAUUAGCUGUGUGUUUUUCUCUAAGGAAAUUAUUGCUUUUUAAUCUGCCAUUCAUCUCAUCCACAGAGGAACAAAGUGGAUUUUCAGGUCAGAUACCUCUCUUACAAAUCAAUAAGACGUUGUUGAAAAGUUGGAAUUUGAAAGGUAUGGUAGAAAUUAUACGUAUGUGACUCCUGUGUAAAUGAUGUACUUAAGUCUGUGCAAUAUUGAGAGAUGUUUGAACCCGAGGGUUUGAAUCCGAGGGUUCUUGGCUGGACUCUAAAAGUGAAAGAAAUGAAGUCAUAGCGAUUGCUUGUUUUUGUCAAGGAGGUGUGUAAGAUGUUUUUGUUUCAGGCAACUUAUUCCUUGAGGUAACAUAUAUCAGUGUACGUGAAGAAACUGGGUCAUACUCUAUUAGGUUUUGCAGAAAUUUAGUAAGCACAACUGGAUGUUCUAACAGCUCAUAGAAAUUGAACUGUAAGGCUGGGAGUACUUGGGAUGCAGGAACAAGACUUGGCUGUACUGUGGGAAUUAGCUUUGUUUCAUGAUAAUGCAGAUGCUUUUUUGGAAUUGAUCUGAAAUAUAAAUAAUUGAUUUUUCAAAAGUAAAGCUUCUAAAAAUGAAAGGAAGAAGUCUCCUGUUGAAACUGGACAAGGAAUAAAAUAUUUUAAUUGAGCUCCUAAACUGGUAUUUGAGUAAUGGCAGUUAUCACAAAUGGAUCAGUCCAAAGAUGUACUCUAAGCUGGCCAAGAAGGCACUGGGCCACUUUGUGGCUUUUUUUCCCCAUGCAGCUUCAAAAACUGUCUAUUGACAGGUUUAACUUUUACGUGGACUGAGAUAAUGGGAGCUGGCUAGUAAUAGUGAAGCAUUAAAUGUCCUUCAUUUCUCCUGAUCAUUUGUAGUUGCUAGGCUGUAGCCAGCUUGUGAGGUGUUUUGGCUAUGGAGAUAUUUCUACACUGUGACGUUUCCAUCCUGAUUGAAAAUUACUCUAAUUAAGGCAUGUUCCCUGGUUUUCUGCUCCUCAUAAAUGCAGUGAUUCUGGAGUAGUUUAAUGACAUAUAUUUUGAAAAAUGCUGAUUAUCAAGUCUGAUUUUUCUUUUUGUGCCAAUGUGUUGCUUCUGACAACAUCUUCUGAUCGGAACAAGACUGUACAAAAAUGUUUAAGCAGCUGCAUUUUUUAUGAAUAUAUUAAUUUCAUUACUUAUUCUUCCUCUGAUGAAGACCUGAAACCAGUCUUCCAUCUGAAAUGUAAAACUUAUUAUUGUUUACAUGUAUAUGUAUAUAUAUUUAUAUACACAUAUGCACAUAUACCUAUAUACAUAUGCUUCUCCAUGCAAAUUGAAUACAAACCUUGACAUUUUCUACAUUUUAUUUUUUUUCUUUUAAUGUCUUGGGCAGUUUGUUAUACAGGAAAUAUGCCAUGAUUCAUCCAUUCUAAUACAUUCCACCUCCAACUAGGGCUGAAUUUUCCAUCUUUUGAAGAAGAAUUUCAUGCCGUUAACAAUGUACAUUCAGACUAGGUAACUUUACUUCCUGAGUUUCCUUCCUUUCUUGGCAGUACUAAGUGACAACGCAAAAAGCUGCAGAACAAAACAUUUUCUUGACUUGGAGGCUCCUCGCAAAUGUUUCAUUCCUCAAACUGAGCUCUUUCCUGCUUCAAACUUUCGUAACUUGUUUGGAACUUAAUGAGCCCCACAUGUCUUGGCUCCCAGCGCCAGCCAGCCUGCAGCAGCAGAACAGCCCUCCUGCUCUGCACAGGAUCAUGAAAAAUGUCAGUCUUCCCCAGUACUUUUUUGUAAAUCUUUUUCUUUUUUUGUUUAUACUCAGAGGACUUUAUUUGCUGGUCACCUGACCCCCUAAAUUCAAAACUGAAUUUACAACACAGAAAAUCUCCUGCGUAGUUAUGAAGACAGCAGACAAAAUAGCACUGUAGUGCUCCGAUCUCUCUUGGAUUCUCAUGAAAUAUGAUACCAAGGCUGAAGUUUUAGGCCUGAUAAAAAACUAUCCACAGGACUUCUUGAUUGUUCCAGAGAAUCUACUUUCCUUUUCACCAGCACAAUUACAAAGGAUAAAGUCACAAAUGUGGCACCCACUGUGAAUGGCAGAGGUUUGACGGAAGGUGGUUCCUGACCAGAGAGGUUGACAACAAUAAUGUACAGAAACAGAUAAUAAUCUGCUUUAAAAUUUGUAUGUGUACAUGCCUAUAUAUGCACAUUUAUAAACUAUUUUGAAGCCAUUUCAGAAACCAUCUCAACAGUAGAGAAGCAGCAGAAGUGACUCAUUUGAUAAAGCAAAAGAGAGUGUAAGAUAUCUAGAUGAAAUACCAUGGUAAAAGAAAAACAAUCCCUGAAAUCUCAAAACUAGUACUGUUAUAUAUUCUUUUCAUAUGUAUUUUCCAUACUGAGGUAGAAAUUCAUAUCUAGAUAUGUAGGUGUUCUCUCUUUCUACUACAGAAGUUGUUCUUAGUAUUUGCAUGCCAUAACAAUGUUAUAAGCCACAUGAAGCUCUGAGAUUCAAUAAAGUAAUUUAGAAAAAGCAGAUUGGCUAAGGGAAUGGUCAAUGGUUUUAAUUACUAUUUUUUUUUUUUUGCAAUUAAAACUGUAUGGUGAAAUUCAUACUGGGUAGGAGAAAAAUGUUAAGCUAAUUGGGAAAGAAGUAUUCCUUCUUGGGAUCUGUUUAACCAGAAGCCAAACUAACAAAUGCAAUCCUAUUUCUUUCUAGAUUUGUAGAUUCAAUCAGUUAGCAAAAAUACGUACCUUAAGGGUAAUUCUCUUUGAUUCUUAUGGGAUAACAGAGUGUAUCAGGCACUUUGAGUAUUAACUUGAUAUAGAAGAAAAAUAACAGCUGAGAGAACUGCCUCAGCCAUCAAUUUUGGAAGCAAAGUCAGAUUGUAUCGGCUGUAAAAUAUGUGCACUACACUUGCCUUAUGAAGUAUACAGCAUUCAGAAGCAAGGUCCCUUCAAGGAAAAUAUUUGGGACUGAGAGAUAACUUUAGGGCUGUCUGUUUUCAGGCUUGGAUUUGUUUGUCAAUCCCUACAAAUGCAACAUUGCAAAAACCAAGUUAUUUAGAGCAUGCGGCGGGACAGAGAUGGAAGCAAGCUUGGUGUAUCUCUUACCUGAAUAUAUCUUUUAUUAAAUCAUUAUUUCAUUUAAAUCUAUAUAUUCUUCUCAUAAUAUGUUAGAAAGAGUUAAGGAUUACCUGGCAUAUCAUUGUGCAUAGUUAGCUGGAAUAUACAUUUGGUUUCUUCAGCUUCUUUCACCGUUUGCACAAGAACUGAAUUUCUUCCCCCUGACACUCAGGACAGCCACUCAUUGAUUUUUCAUUCUGUUACACUCAGAAAAGGACAUUGAUGAAAUCCUAAUUGUUCUAGGUAACAAGCAUGAAGACUGCAUAAUGCUAAAGUAAAAUUAUUUCUCAUCAGAAAGUGGAAAGACAACGACUGAGCCUGCUCUGUGAUGACAGCAUCAUAAAAUCCCUUCAGCUACAAUAGUGGAUAUGCUAAUAACUAUAAAUCUUUAAGAUGAUAAAAAGAAGGCUAUUGCAGAUAUAUCAAGAAAAAAUGUUUAACUUUUCAUUCUCACAGUUUGUACAGAGAUAUUUGCUCUUAUAUUUAAGGCUUUAUUUUUCUUAUUAACGUAAGUGUCCAGGCUGCUGGGGAGAGUGAACUGAAAGCUCAUUUCUCCUGGGCUUUCAAUAUUUUAAUGUUUAGACUUUCAGGGAUUCAGAAGCACAGAAAGGGUUUUAAAUGCUCAUGUUUUUCUAACCAGAGUUUAUGCAAAAACUUGUUAGUUUUCUGAGAAAUUACUGUACUCGGGAGUGCAUGUGAGAAUUUUUCCUGAGUUUUUAAAUCCCCCUACUAGAGCAGAAGCAGAUACUGCUUGCAUUUUCUACCUUCCUAUUCUUCCAGUUGUAAGUAUAAUCUGUGCAAACUGAUUAAAACAGAACUAGAAAAGUAUUAAUAUAAUGUUGUAUUCCAUUUACACGUUGUCCUUUCCAGGUGAUCUUCUGUGGUUGUUUUUUUUUAUUUUUUUAUUUUUCAUUAAGUGUGGUCAAAAGAGGAAUGGCAUUGAUACAUCUCUCACUUCCUUUCCUCAUUCCUUGUUUCUGCCUCUCUUCUAUGUUUAUUUUCCUAAAAACCUGUUCCCAUCACUACCCACAAGAUUCAUCACUUGUUAUUUCCCAGAUAUUUCUCUUUGCACUUUAGCACCUGUAUGCUGAUGUUCAAAUACAGCUGAACCAUCCCCUUUCCAAAGAUCCCUUCCUCACUUCUGUACUAAGGUCCUGCUUGUGGUCAGAUUUCCAGCAACAGUGGAUUCCAAUCAUUUCCAAUCUCAUAUUAUUCUGGCACGUAAACAUGCAAAACAAGGUUGUUAUUAGCUUUUGUUUACCUAAGACUUUGGCUUUUUGCUUUGAUUUCAAUUAAAAAUGAUACAUUCUAGUGCUGUUUCUGUGUUUCCCUCAUUCCCAUUUUAAUCUU